ensembl:lncRNA
GAAAACUAGAACACAACAUAGAAAUACUAGAUCACCCCCUAGUCGAGCCCUGACCUAAUACACCUGUUUCUCUAUGGUCAGGGCGUGACAAUCAGAUCAAAUUUGAUGACCAAUUUAUGCAGAAAUACAGGUCAUUCCAAAGGGUUCACAUACUUUUUCAAGCCACUACAUUACGUAAAACCCAAUGGACCAUAUGCACUAUUCAAUUAAAACUGAAUUCUUUGUAAAAUGAAACAAAUAUUGGCCAAUUAUUUUAUACAUUCAUCAAAUUACAUAAAAACACAAAAAUGACUGCCCUUCUAUUACCACCCCCCUCGCGUCCCCUUGACACACACACACACACACACACAGAGAAAGAGAGAUGUAUGUUUAGUUUAUGACGAGAAAUUUGGGGAGUGUUAAAGGAAGCGAGGUGUGUCUCUCUACAGUAUAAUUACGAGUUAUUUCUCUGGGAAGCCAUGCAGACAGAACCCUGACAGGAACUACAUCUCAGGUUUUGAUCUGAAACAUCGAGAUGUGGGGUCACAACCAAGGAAACCAGCAUCCCUCUGGCUACAACGUGAACCCAAGUGGGUGCGAACCGCCAAUGCCAGGUGGGGGACACCCUGGCGGGUGCACCAUUGGUGCCAUCAUGGCCCCAUCAUGCCCUCCCUACCAGCCCCCCUCCACCUGCUACCCUGUGCCACCAUCUUAUCCAGUACAGGGUCCCCAUGGAGGUCAUGGGCAUGGGCACGAUCAUGGGCACGGACCUCAUGGCCAUGAUCAUGGUCACGGGCACGGACAUCAUGGUCAUGAUCAUGGUCACGGUCAUGGAGGGCACGGUCAUGGAGGACACGGAGGGCACGGUCACGGAGGGCAUGGUCGCGGAGGGCAUGGUCAUGGGCAUGGUCAUGGUCAUGGGCACGGUCAUGGUCAUGGUCAUGGGCACGGUCAUGGAUGCAGGCACAGGCACAAGCAUGGGCAUUGGCAUGGGGGUUGUCACAAGAAAGGGAAGCAGAGUCAUGGGAGUUCAAGCAGCUCCUGCAGCAGUGACUCCGACUAGAGCCUGCAGUCAGAGGGACAUGACUUAUCCUCUUAUCAGCCGUAAGAGACCUGGAUCUCUCUCCCCAGUGCUUUACUAUAGCCCCAGAACCAAUCCCUAAUCCCCAUACCUAACAUAUGGAUGUUACAAACCCACAUCUCUCCCGCUCAUAUGUCUGAUUUUUUUAAAAGCAUGAUGGUUUCUUUUAUGUAAAAUAAUUAAAGGACACAGAGGGAAACGUAUUUUUUCUUGUUGUAUGCCAAAAUGAUUUAAAAAAAUAAAAUAAAAAAUGUCCAAUUACUGUGUACAUCAUAACUACAACCCACAGUAUACAUUUUUGAUAUGUCAAUUAUUGUGGGCCUGGGGAAUUCUGAUUUGUUUAUGGGUAUUUGGUUAUCCGAGCCAAGCUAUAAUUGUAACCCUGCAUAGUUUCCUCAUAAAGUCAAGCAUUCCUAAACAUUGAUUUGUAGGAACCUAAACUCAAAUGUGGGCGGGUUGCCUGUUUUGCAUGUUAUUUUGACAUGAAUACAUGUCACAUAUCAGUUUGCACACAAUAUUAAAAAAUAAAAAUAUGUCAUUAAGCUAAUAAAGCUGCAUACAAACUUAGUCUCUUUGUUGCUUUAUUGAGUAAGGCAGCUCAAAAAUGCAGGUGUUUGAGCCUAAUCUCAGUGCUCUCUGUG